AAAAGCUGAAGAAUAUAGGUCACAUGCUAGCCGUUCAUAUAAAUAUAUAUAUCUCGCCAAUAAAAUCUAUGCAACCUUUUCCACACCAUACAAUAUAAUAUGUUCAAAAAAAAAAAAUUCCCAAUUUUUUCUUUAAUUUCCUCUAUACAAAAUAAUUUUUAAAAAAAUAAAAAUAAAAACAUAUAUAUAUAUAUUUGAAUUUCAAUAGUGUUCAGAAUUGGGUGGGAGCCCACCUGUUGGUUCAUGGAUAUAUUGAUUUCUGGUGCAGUACAAACAUCUUUCUUUCUCUCUCUCUCUCUCUCUCUACAUUUUCAUGGCAGCAAAGCAUUGCUCUUCUCUUUCACUCAUGAUUAAUAUCUUCCUACUACUCUUCAUCGUUUUCCCAUGUUUUUUUCAUGAGGUGAUUUCAGAUCAAUCAAAAGGGAGAAGAAGAAUAUUACUUGCGCAUUACAAUUAUUCUCGUACAAAACAAAUGAUGGCGGUGCUUCAUCACCAAAAUGAAACUACUAGUACUCACAGGUUCAAGAAGAAGAAACAACCUCGUACCACCAGAAGGGCAUCUCCUGGCGGCGGCGGCGGUGGCGGUACGAGGUUGUCGGACGACAGACAGUUUCGUGGUGAUUUUCAUGAAGUCCCGAGUGGUCCGAAUCCAGAAUCCAACUGAUAUAUGUAUGUAUGUAUGUUAGAUGCAGUUUUUUGUGUUGUUCUGUAAGUAUAAUAUGGGGCUGGGCUAUAUUUCAUAGGGGAAAUUAAUUAAUUAAUUAAUUAAUUAAUUAAUUGCAAUUUUCUUUAUUUUAUUUUUAUUUAUUUAUUUUUGUAAGUACAUUGAUUAUUUUUUUUUCUUUUUUUGGCAUGUUAGAAUUUAAUUAGGGUUACACCUUACACAAUCAUCUCUUUUUCUUUUUCUUUUUUUUUUCCAAUUAAUUUGUUGCUCGUAUUGUUUGGUUAUGUUUCCAUCGGAAAACCCCGGAAAUUACACGAGAAAGGGUUCCCACGACGAAAAUUGUUCUUUUGCAUUAAUUUUUUUUUAAAAAAUCAAACCGUAUUAAUUAGGCAUUCCCAUAGGAUUAAUUAUUAUUGUGGAAAAUUCGCAAAUUAAA
rnacentral:lncRNA from 1 species